ACAGGCGCCAGUAGCUAGCGGGCAGUCCUUGGGGGCCGGGGACUGGAAGGCUUCUGGUGAGGUUCUUGGUGACGGUGGCCCUUGGGACAGAAGGAAUCUGCAGGUGAGGAAGGCGGGGGCCAAGGUCACCGUAUGCCUUGCCUGGUGAACUCAGGAGCUUCCUCCCCCUCGGCCUCUCCGCUCCGGUGCUGGCCCUGUGGGGGCCUCGAGCCUCCCCUCCCUGCGGCACAUCCCUGGUGCUCAGUGAGCACUGGAGGACUCGGGCAGACUGCCAGGGGCCUAGGUCUUCCUCGAAGGCUGGGCAGUGCAGGAAGAGAGCAGGGGCAGGUCCCCAAGGCUGGACUGACAGCAGGAGGGUCACAUCCCCCUCCUCCCUGCGCCCCCCCAGCUGGCUCCGGCUUCCCGCGCAGCACCCCUGCCCCAUGGCCCCCCUGCUGUCUCCGCCUGGGUCUGAUGCCCACGCCCGCUGCCCCUCGCCCUGCCGCGCUCUGACACCUGGCCCAGCCCACCUCCCUACCUGGGUCCCCUUCUCUCCCUCCCAUGCCACCUGCCUGGGGUCCUCCGUCCCCCGUGCCCACCCCCCAGGGCAUUUCCUUUGCAGCACCUACUAGUUUUAGGACUAGAUGGUUCAGGGAGAAAUGAGAGGAGAAACCCAGCAACGGUUUUGCACAAAAAUAUUUUGUGGGGAUUUUUGUGCUAGCAAAGUUUUGGAGAGAAAAUAUAAGCUAGAGUGACCUGGUGGAAGGAAUGUGCAAGAGAGAGAGAGAGAGAGAGGCAAAGGACGGGGGCAGGCGGGUUUGUGCCUGGAGUCCCACCCGCUUGAAUUGACAUCUGUCCAUAAGUCCUAGGGGUUCCUUGGUGUACACAUUGGGAACUGCUGGAAAAGAAUUCGGCCUGGAAGGGUUGAGUGGCAUGUCACAGCACCAGCGUGUCUUCUCUGAGCUCCCGAGAAGCCUCCAGGCAGCUCCUGCAGCCAACCAGCCGGGGCGGGUGGAGCUUCAGGGUGGCCUGCCUGGAGGACAGAGCCUGGGCCCUGAGCAGACGCGGGGGUGUCUUUCCAGGCCUGUGGGAAGUGGGUCGGGUCUGCAGGACACAGGCUGUGCGGUAAGGACUUCCACAAGCAAGUGACGCUUCCUCCCCUGAGCCCCCAGCCCAUGCCAUUGGUGACCCUCAGUGCCUCAGCUCUGUCCCCUCCACGGUGACCUCCAGGAACAGGACCUGAGGAUCUGUGGCUGGUACAGACAGGCGCCUCUGGCCUCUUGGUGCUGCUCUUCGGACUGUGCACAGCACUCUGUAGUUUACCAAGCACGUUCACACCGUCUUGCUGUGAGUUCAUCUUUGCAGCCACCGCCUGUGGCUGAUGGACUUCUGAUCCCAUUUUAUUGACGGAGAGACUGAGGUCCAGAAGAAAUUUGCUCAAGAACAUACAGCUGCCUGGUGUUGGAGCUGGACUUUGAAUCGCAGGAGAUUGAUUUCCCUUGAAAGGAUUAUCAUAAAAUUGUGACCAAAAUUUGCCCACCAUGACACAACUGGCCAGUGGCUGAGCCAGGCCCAACCCCCAGGUGGCCCGGCUUCCCAGCCAGCAAGUGUCAUCAUGGUGGGUGGCCUUGGGGAAGGAGGCCACCUGCCCUGCGUCCCCAGGGGCCAGUGUUCAGCAGGGAGAGAGUCCAUGGUGCAGCUGUCUGGGGACCCCCGCAGAGUGUCCCUGGACUCAGGGAGGGCAGAGACGGAGCCGAGGUCCCCACCGCCCUCUGCGGCAGCUCAUUUCCAUUCAUUUUCUUUAAAUGCUUCUCGCUCUGUUUUUAAAUCUAAUUUUUCAGCCUCUUUUUUAUCUUCACUCAAGUUGCUUUAAUGAAAGGAAAAUGUGUCUGUUUCCCUCUGCUGGAGCUGCCCGGGGAAUCUCAAUACAAAACAAACAAGUUGGC